rnacentral:rRNA from 1 species
AGAGUGAACGCUGGCGGUAGGCCUAACACAUGCAAGUCGAACGGCAGCACAGUGGUAGCAAUACCAUGGGUGGCGAGUGGCGGACGGGUGAGGAAUACAUCGGAAUCUACCUUUUCGUGGGGGAUAACGUAGGGAAACUUACGCUAAUACCGCAUACGCCCUUCGGGGGAAAGCCGGGGAUCGCAAGACCUGGCGCGGAUAGAUGAGCCGAUGUCGGAUUAGCUAGUUGGUGAGGUAAUGGCUCACCAAGGCGACGAUCCGUAAGUGGUCUGAGAGGAUGAUCAGUCACACUGGAACUGAGACACGGUCCAGACUCCUACGGGAGGACGAGCAGGUAGGGGAAGUAUUGGACAAGUGGGACGAAAGCCUGA